UAGAAAGUAAUUACGAACAAAAAUUAACCGUCACAGCUUUAUCUACUCGGUUGCCUAGAAAACAAAUGUCUUUCUACGACAAACGGAGAAGAAACAGCAGUGAAAGUAAUCGCAUAGCGAACGUCACACUGACAUUAAUGACUUGACUCGGUUAAUUUGACAUGUGUUUAUAUAAGCGCUCUCACACGCAAAAUAGUUUACCGAGAAAGAUAAUGCUGUGAAACAAAUUGCUGUGCAGCAAAAUGCACGCACAGGAUUUUGUUGAUAUAGACUGUUAUAAUCAAAUGCGUUCUCACAGUUAAAAACUAUACGUGCAAGCAUUGUAACCAAACUCCUGGACAUAUUGUAAUGCUCAAUCAUGAACAGCCGGACGCUCCCAACGACUCCGGAUACGAUACGGAUUCGGACAGUUCCUUCAGCUCCUAUGAAACAGAAGAAGAAAUUGACGAUUGCGAUUGUACCGAGGAGCAACGCGGUGUCAAUGGAGAGUGUCGAAUCACCAGCUAAGGAAAAUGGAAAAGAAUUCCAAAAUGAAGCUCGAGCAAAAUCUAUUUGAGAAGUUGGCAAAGUUCCUGAUAGACUUCCUCAAUAUGUUCGAAUUUUUUUAAACCAAGUAUGUUACAUUUUCCACUAUUAAAGACUAUACAUGUGGCUUUUUUCAUCUUUAUUGUCAUGCCUGGAAAUAUCUCUGGCUCGUAGUAUUUGUCACCAGUUGAAUGGCCAAUAUUUUCAAGGUUUUGUCGUCGCAGCUGACAUGAAGCAAUAAUAUUAACAACCUUAUAAUUUGUUAUUCGUGCUCCUUUGUAACCCGUAGCAAUAAGCUUUCGCAAAAAGUAUUUUGCAUAAUUUCGUGACUCGCGCAGUGUGCG